rnacentral:rRNA from 1 species
CCUACGGGAGGCAGCAGUGGGGGAUAUUGCACAAUGGGGGGAACCCUGAUGCAGCGACGCCGCGUGAGUGAAGAAGUAUUUCGGUAUGUAAAGCUCUAUCAGCAGGGAAGAAAAUGACGGUACCUUACUAAGAAGCCCCGGCUAACUAAGUGCCAGCAGCCGGUGUAAUACGUAGGGGGCAAGCGUUAUCCGGAUUUACUGGGUGUAAAGGGAGCGUAGACGGGAAAGCAAGUCUGAAGUGAAAGCCCGGGGCCCAACCGCGGGACUGCUUUUGAAACUGCCCGGUGAGAGUGCUGGAGGGGUAAGCGGAAUUCCGAGUGUAGCGGUGAAAUGCGUAGAUAUUAGGAGGAACACCAGCGGCGAAGGCGGCUUACUGGACCGCAACUGACGUUGAGGCUCGAAAGCGUGGGGAGCAAACAGGAUUAGAUACCCUUGUAGUC